CUUUGAAUUAUGCUUGUUCUUGUUGGACACGGUGGCAACAUUUAUUCAUGGACAACCACCUGUAAGUCGCUCUCCUUUUACAG